UAUAAAAAUACUCUGUUACAAGUAAAAGUUACUGUAAUCAGGAAAAAGUGCAGCAAGUAUUGUUUCUGUAAAUAGAGAAACAUGAAAAUAGAGUCCAGAGUGACGAUCAGCUGAUUACAGAUUUAUUCUGACUGAUAGAAGUUGAGACACGUUUCACAUAAACAGACGAGCUCACCGAGGUCUGAAGGAACUCAAGCAGAAAAAUGUGGCGUGAAAAUGUCUGAAAACACAAAAAAAGGAGUCAUAGCCAAUCAGAAGGUCAGGAAGAGCACACACACGCAGUCAUGGCUAACAUGAAGGAGGUUAGCAUGUCACAAUUAAUAUCUGCUCUUCAUGUGUGUGAGUGUUAUUGGCUGUUGUCCCAUGAUGCACUGGGGCAGUGCUGAAGUCAGUCUGCUGUUGGAGGAUUUCAAAAUGAAAUCACAGAAUAAAUAGAACAGACCUUCAGAGGCCUUCAAGUAACUGAAUACUUGUCUGAAUAAUGUUGAUGCAAUUCAAGAGACAUUAAAGAAAAUAGCAAGAAACAAGAAGGGAAUUUUUCUUAAAAAAGCUCCCCAUGAGGAGAACAGGAAGGGGCGGGGCUUCAGCUCUGUGUAGUGGCCUCAGCCAAUAAGAGGCAUCCACCUGACCCAGGUGAAGACACACCAGGUGAUACAGAUUCAAGUUAAUGAAGCAACAAAACAACAAGACAUGAGACGACAGAAGGGUCACAUGCUUACGACAUAUAAUAUGAUAUAAUAUAAUGUGAAGAUAACACAUGAACUCUUUGUCCUGGUUGAGAUCAGGAUAUUUCAACACAUCCAGUCUAAGAAUCCAUGAAGCUUCAGUUUGGUUUCUGCCUGCUGCUUCGUGCUUCUGCUGCAGCUCAGAGGUAACAGCUGACAGGACGAGCAGCUACCUGCCUGAAGUAUCUGUGUCAGUGUGCUCAGCAGAGCUCAGCUGAUCAGAGACGAGGAAACACAUCAGAGUGUUGAUCCUGACUCCUCACACAGACGCACCUGCAGGUCCCAGGUGAGGCAGCUCCUCAGAGUGACGGCCUCCAACAAUCAACCAAUCAGGCGAGUGGACCAGCUGGAUAUGGACACAGCGUCCUGCUCAGUGCGCUCUGCUCCUGCAGCUCUAUAUAAGGUCGUCCAUCUCGCCAAUGGAAAGACAUGGAGGUCAGCACAGGUUACAGGUGCUGGUAUCAGCUGCUCCAUCUGCUCACUGACUCUCACAAACUACCAGUGUUGAUAAAGGAAAGGGAGCCAUCAUCGAGUUACAGUAAAGGUCUGGUGUUUAAAUAUAGCUCUGGUAAAAGGGAAAGUUGCUGAUAUGAAAUGUAGGUGUGAAUAUAAUGAUAAUGUGAUCGGCUCACACUUCAGGCUCUAUAGGCAAAUUAACACGUCCAUCACUGCGACAAACAAAUACUUUUUAUACACAAAGACAGAAAGAACAUCAUGUGUAACAUUUGCCAAAUUAAGAUAUAGGCUCAGACUGUUUGUAGACAACAUUUCAUAACAUUUAUAAAGAUUCUCCCAAAGCAAAAAGACUCAAAAUUGAGCUUUUUUUCUUCUUUCAUAAAUGGAGUGUAAAUGGUGAAAUCAGUGUAAACAGUGUGUUCAAACAGCUGAUCAAUGUUGGCAGAUAAGACUUUAGCCCUUUUGACACAGAAGCAGACAGGCUGGUACAGACAUGCUGCCACAAA